rnacentral:lncRNA from 1 species
AACUUUUUGAUAAAUUGAACAAUUUCCGAUGCUACUUUAUAUUUAUAAAUCUACAGUAACAUCAAAAUAAAUACUCGUCCUGUUUUGGUUAAAAAGCAAGAGACUUGCUCAAUAACAUAAAGAAAAGUCUCGCAUUUGUUGUACUGAUGAAUGAUGCACUUUACCGGGCAUUUUUCUGUGUUUUGGUUCCAAGAAAAUUGGGUUAAAUUAUUGGAUGAAUACAAUCCAGCGAGCUUGCACUCCAGGUGUUUGUGGAAACGUGUGACCCACAUGCUAAUAUUUGUGAUGGCUUGGGGUGAGGAUCGAUUUAUCUCUUAUCUAUAACUAUAACUAUUGAUUCAAUAAUAAUGCGUGCAUUUAAAUUUAGUUUAUUUUGUAUGGAUUGCUGACUGCUAAUUUUUAAAUUUGUUAGAGACUAUAAGUAGUGAAGAAAAUCAGAGACCCUAAACCCACCAUUAAUGUUACAUUUAUUUAUUUAUUUAUGUUUUGAAGUGAACUUACAUUGAGUUUCACUUAAUCUCAAAUUCAGGUUUUGUUCAAGCUCUUGUUUGUGCCUGUUUUCUGUUAGUUACAUGAUCAAUUUCGAAAUAGAUUGUAAGCUAAAGCCGAGAACUCUGAAAGUGUAAGCCUGGAAGGUGGUGUCUUAAAGUCUACUUAAUCAACAUUUGCUUCUAAUUUCUCAAGAUACGUAUAAGGCUUCGAAAUUGAUUCCACAAUAGCGAACGGUACAAAAUCACAAUAUGGAGCUAGGAAGUAUUUACAUGAACAAAUUAAAUAAAAUAGUACCUAGAUAAUAAAAAUUAAUAUACACUCAUCUUGCUUCCAGCUGGGUAAUGGUUAUUUCAUUGGAUGAACAACUAUUUAUACUUUUACCUAUGGAUACAUCUCUUCCUGCGAAAAAACCAGGCUGAUUUGCCUGAGGCAACGCAGCAUCAUUUCCCAACAUUGCAACCACUGAAGCUAUGCUUGGCCUAUCAUCUGGACAUUGUUGCACACACAAAAGACCCACAUGGAUUAAUCGUAGAACUUCAAAUAGAUUAGCUGUCUCACGUAGAUAAGCAUCAACUAGUUCCAAUGACCUUUCUUCUUUAUAAAGUGUCCAUGCCUGUAUAAACAUAACCACAUUAAUAGAUCUUUUAGUCAAGUUAGUAUAAAGAAAAUAAACAUAGGCAUCUCCAAGACAAUAAUUACAUGUCCAAGAAGGUUGAGGUGCUGAUCUCCAUGGGAAAAUCCACUAUUUCUCUUGCUAAUCACAAUUUCCAGAACUAGAACUCCAAAACUAAAUACAUCUGAUUUUUGUGAGAACCGUCCAUGCACUGCGUAUUCUGGUGCCAUGUAACCACUGCAUGGAAGUAUUUGUCAGAUUAUAAUGUUAAGAACAAUGGAAGUAUAUUAGCAAGAUAUUGUGCCGUUGAGAUUCUUACUAUGUUCCAACUACUUUGCUUGUCUUAUCUUCGGUUUCAUUCCCUCCAAAACUUCUAGCAAUGCCAAAGUCAGAUAUUUUAGGAUUCAUGUCAGUAUCUAGCAAUAUGUUGCUCGCUUUGAGGUCUCUAUGAAUAAUUCUCAUUCGGGAAUCUUGAUGAAUAUACAAUAAUCCCCUAGCCACUCCAUUAACAAUUUGGAGGCGCUUAGGCCAAUCAAGUAAUGCACUUCUGGUUUGAUCUGCCAAAAUGUUGUGCUAGUUAAUAUACGACAUCCAAUUGUAGUUGGAUGCCAAACUCUUGAAAUUACUUCCAAAAUCUAUUAUCAAAUAUUUACUCUGCAAAAAAAACUAUAUUGUAACACAAAAUGUUGAAUGGUGCAAAGGAACAAUGCUUUCCUAUAUUUAUGCAAUCAACUAGGAUUCAAUUCUUAACUAGCAUUAAUCUUCGUUUCAUUGCAUGAUUUUCUAAGUUAUCCCUAACCAUAUGGCUCGAACAAUGACUUAAACUAGUAGAAAUUCUUUGUGGCUUUAUAUAGAAAGGUGGUUUUGAGCUUAUUGUACUAGAAUUAGAAAUUUUACCAAAUAAAAUCAAGUCCAGGCUUUUGUUGGGCAUGUAUUCAUAAAUGAGCAUCUUUUCUUCUCCUUCUAUGCAGCAUCCUAGAAGCUUCACAAGAUUUCGAUGCUGAAGUUUAGCGAUACAAAUAACUUCAUUCUUGAAUUCAUCAAGUCCUUGCAUGGAAGUUUUUGACAACCUUUUCACAGCAACAUCUUGUCCAUCUUCCAAAGUUCCCUAAGAUCAGAAUUUGUUCAUUUGAGAAGGUAUUUAUUGAAUGAACUUGAAGCAGCACUGAAUUUUUUAUCUAUUACUCUCUUUUAGUAUGUCUCAUAGGCUAACCUUUAUGUUAUGUGAAUUGAAUUUGAAGACUUCAUCCCUUGUGGAAUAUUUGAAUAUUCAUACAGAUAUAUGUGUGAAUGAUGCUCAGUGUGCAGAAUUGUUUAUCACCUUUUAAAAAUUUUCUUACAGAAUUUUGAGGAAGACCACUUUUUUCAGGUCUUCAUUAUUGUUGAAUUGAACCUAUGGAGCAAGUCUAAUUUUCAGAAGACGCACAAUAUUGAUCUUCAGCAAAUGUUCUUUGUUUUAAGAAAAAAAUAUUACAUUUCUUGCUGGGAUUAAUGUCUACUGCUUAAGGGUAAUUCACCAUUUUAAAUCCUUAUUUUGUGCACAAGUUUUUGCUCCAAGGCAUUGCUGCUCAAGUAAAGUUCACUGGUCAUGUAAUUCUUCUAAAUAUGUGGAUUUUAUAUAAGUAUCUAAAGGUCUAAUUUCCUCGAAGUACUGUAUUCACUUUUCACCUUAUAAACAGGCCCGUAUCCAC